CUGGAGCCCCCUCAAGCUGGACGGGCUGACACCGGCAUCUUUCCAAAGACUCAUGCUGCAGCUGUGAGCCCAAUGGAGACAGCACCAAGUGAGGAUGUUUUUUUUGCGAGGGCAGCGUGCACUCAGGGAGAUGAUGGCCCGUCUGCGAUAACCUGUGAAUUGGAUCCAGAAUUGAAGUUAAAGAAGAAACUUUUUACCAAGCCUUCAAAGUUACCAAGUAGAUCUCCAUACAGCACACAACUGUAUUCCAGAAAAGCUACAGUUUGGCCUUCUCUUCAGGGAACAGGCAGUGAAUAUCUUGAGAGUGCAGCUGUAAAAAACCAAAGGCUAAGAUCACUGAAACAAGGCUAUAUUCCUGGAAAUCCUAACUACAAAGAAAAAGAAGAUAUGUAUGAUGAAAUUAUAGAGCUGAAAAAGACAGUACAAGCUCAGAAAAUUGAGAGACAUCAAAUGAAAACUAAGCUUCGUCGACUAGAGGAAGUGAUCAAUAGAAAGGAUAAACAGAUUGAAAAACUGUUGGAUCCUUUCAAGGCCUCUGAGAUGGCACAAGCUUUGUCAGAAAGGGUGAAUAAUAAUGGAUGGGUGGCUAAUGGAUUGAAGCAGAAGAUUCUCAAGCUACAACAGUUGUGCAAGGAGAGAUACAAGACUAUUAACGAAUUCCAGGCAGACCUGACGUCCACUAAUUUGCAAGAAAUGAAAGCUAUGGAAACCUGCUCUGAAGAGGUUCAUCGUCUCCAACAGCUUCUGGAGAAAUCUGAGGCUACUAGGAAAAAUACAGAGAGCAGAGAGACCCAAAAACACCUAAAGGCACUGAAUGCUGCUGUCCUGAGAUUAUCCAGGACCAUCAAAAAUUUGCAGGCUGAGAAUCGGAGGCUGAAAGAAGAUUUAGAUCAUGUACUGUGCAGUUCUCCUCCUUCCAGUGAAACAGAAAAUUACAGUGAGUGGAGCAAACCCAGGCUGGUGAAGCGGAUUUCAGAACUAGAAAGUAAAAUAAGUGCCAUGGAGAACGCCAGGGUGCCAUCAGCAGAUACCUGUGAGUCAGAGGUAUUCACUCCACCAUGUUCAACUUCCGAAGACCUGGGUCAUCUAGUCUCUCAACAGGUGGACUAUGUUGAGGAAUGUCAUCGCCUCCAAGGGCUAGUGAAGCAACUCCAGAGAGAUAAGAGGGCACUUCGAAGUUUUUUACUCAGUAAAGAAGUGGAAAUCCAGAACCUGACACAGAAAUUAGGGAAACUGGAGCCAAAAGAAGAGGAAGAGAAGAGUCAAAUGGCAGAAGAUAAAGUGGAAAAGGGUCUUAAGUUUUCACUGCAAGGCAAAGAUCAUCAAAGGAGAGAAGAAGCAGCCAGAAUCAUCCAGAGGUACUGGAGGAAGUAUCAGGACAAGCGAGAUGUAAGUGAUCUGGACAAGGCAAUUACUGCAGUUCAGGCAGCUUUCAGAGGACAUUUAAGUCGACAGAAACUGUUACUGAAGAAGAGGACGCAUGAGGCAAAUUCUCAUAACAAGAACUCCUGCAGGUCUUCCAUGUCAAACUCCUUGAGCUCGUCUUCUGAUUGCAUAGAGAAAGAUGAGAUGCUGCCAUUCAUCCAGUCUGUUUUCAGGGCUCACUUAGCACGUAAAGAACAGCUUGCGGAGAGGGUUUACUCCUCAGAAAGUUUUUAAUGUUGGCUGCCAUGGUUACAGAGUUAAGCUGUCACCUCACUUUAGUGUCUGGAGUUCACUUCUGCAAGUGAUAAGGUUUUGUUUCUUAGAGGCUAGCAGCACAAACUUUUCAGCAUGCCCUCUGAAGACAGGCUGCAGUUACUGCUCUGUGCCUCAUGCAAUGCAGUAUGUCUUUCUGCCCUCUGUGUCCAGUGCACUACGUGAGAAAGGAGAUUUCUGCAGUUGACAGUCCAGAGAAGAAACCGGUUUUAGCAGGAGUCCAGAGAUGACCUUCAAACGUCAUGUUGUCUCUUCCUGCCCUGUAGCUGUAGUAUGGUACUUUCCACUGUGCUUCGGGCCUGAAGCCAUAGACAAGCUGAGAAUGUUUUCACCAUCCUGACUUAGUUUCCGAAGGGGACAGACAUCUGGUAAAAAGAACCAUCCUAGUCAGCCAUGUGUAACAUUGUUUUCAGCGGUCUUCAGAUGCUGCAGUAAAGGGAAAAACUAAGUCCUGGAUAACUUUGCCAACUAGUACUACUAUAAUGCAAACUGGGAAAAUGUC